rnacentral:rRNA from 1 species
AUUGAACGCUGGCGGCAUGCCUUACACAUGCAAGUCGAACGGUAACAGGUCUUCGGAUGCUGACGAGUGGCGAACGGGUGAGUAAUACGUCGGAACGUGCCUAGUAGUGGGGGAUAACUACUCGAAAGAGUGGCUAAUACCGCAUGAGAUCUACGGAUGAAAGCAGGGGAUCGCAAGACCUUGUGCUACUAGAGCGGCCGAUGGCAGAUUAGGUAGUUGGUGGGAUAAAAGCUUACCAAGCCGACGAUCUGUAGCUGGUCUGAGAGGACGAUCAGCCACACUGGGACUGAGACACGGCCCAGACUCCUGCGGGAGGCAGCAGUGGGGAAUUUUGGACAAGGGGCGAAAGCCUGAUCCAGCAAUGCCGCGUGCAGGAUGAAGGCCUUCGGGUUGUAAACUGCUUUUGUACGGAACGAAAAGCCCCGGGUUAAUACCCUGGGGUCAUGACGGUACCGUAAGAAUAAGCACCGGCUAACUACGUGCCAGCCGCCGCCGUAA